UAACAAGGAUUCCCCUAGUAGCGGCGAGCGAAGCGGGAAGAGCUCAAAUUUAUAAUCUGGCACCUUCGGUGUCCGAGUUGUAAUCUCUAGAAAUGUUUUCCGCGCUGGACCGCACACAAGUCUGUUGGAAUACAGCGGCAUAGUGGUGAGACCCCCGUAUAUGGUGCGGAUGCCCAGCGCUUUGUGAUACAUUUUCGAAGAGUCGAGUUGUUUGGGAAUGCAGCUCAAAUUGGGUGGUAAAUUCCAUCUAAAGCUAAAUAUUGGCGAGAGACCGAUAGCGAACAAGUACCGUGAGGGAAAGAUGAAAAGCACUUUGGAAAGAGAGUUAACAGUACGUGAAAUUGUUGGAAGGGAAACGCUUGAAGUCAGACUUGCUUGCCGAGCAAUCGGUUUGCAGGCCAGCAUCAGUUUUCCGGGAUGGAUAAUGGUAGAGAGAAGGUAGCAGUUUCGGCUGUGUUAUAGCUCUCUACUGGAUACAUCUUGGGGGACUGAGGAACGCAGUGUGCCUUACGGCGGGG
rnacentral:rRNA from 1 species